rnacentral:rRNA from 1 species
UACGUAGGGGGCUAGCGUUGUCCGGAAUCAUUGGGCGUAAAGCGCGCGUAGGCGGCCAGAUAAGUCCGGUGUGAAAGUCACAGGCUCAACCUGUGAAUGCCGCUGGAGACUGUCUGGCUAGAGUCCGGAAGGGGCGAGUGGAAUUCCUGGUGUAGCGGUGAAAUGCGCAGAUAUCAGGAGGAACACCAAUGGCGAAGGCAGGUCUCUGGGCAUUAACUGACGCUGAGGAGCGAAAGCAUGGGGAGCGAACAGG